rnacentral:SRP_RNA from 1 species
UCGUGCUAGAUGGGGAGGUAGCGGUGCCCUGUUACCCGCAAUCCGCUCUAGCGGGAUCGAAUUCCCGUCCGAGGCCCGUUUUGCCAAUACAGCGGCUGGACCCGAGGGCGCUGAAGGCCGGAUUCCACGCAACGUGAGGCUUCUGAACUCCGUCAGGACCGGAAGGUAGCAGCGGUAAGAAUGCUGAUGCGUGUGCCGUGGAAAUAUCUGACUGGAGCCCGAGGGUACCGAACGAUGUUAGGUAACGGGUCGAAGAUGGGUGCACGA